UAGGGAAUCUUCGGCAAUGGACGAAAGUCUGACCGAGCAACGCCGCGUGAGUGAAGAAGGUUUUCGGAUCGUAAAACUCUGUUGUUAGAGAAGAACAAGGACGUUAGUAACUGAACGUCCCCUGACGGUAUCUAACCAGAAAGCCACGGCUAACUACGUGCCAGCAGCCGCGGUAAUACGUAGGUGGCAAGCGUUGUCCGGAUUUAGUGGGCGUAAAGCGAGCGCAGGCGGUUUCUUAAGUCUGAUGUGAAAGCCCCCGGCUCAACCGGGGAGGGUCAUUGGAAACUGGGAGACUUGAGUGCAGAAGAGGAGAGUGGAAUUCCAUGUGUAGCGGUGAAAUGCUUAGAUAUAUGGAGGAACACCAGUGGCGAAGGCGGCUCUCUGGUCUGUAACUGACGCUGAGGCUCGAAAGCGUGGGGAGCAAACAGG
rnacentral:rRNA from 1 species